rnacentral:rRNA from 1 species
UGAGUCCGAUGAGUAAGGCGGGACACGUGUUAUCCUGUCUGAAUACGGGGGGACCAUCCUCCAAGGCUAAAUACUCCUGACUGACCGAUAGUGAACCAGUACCGUGAGGGAAAGGCGAAAAGAACCCCGGCGAGGGGAGUGAAAAAGAACCUGAAACCGUGUACGUACAAGCAGUGGGAGCACCUUUAUGGUGUGACUGCGUACCUUUUGUAUAAUGGGUCAGCGACUUAUAUUCUGUAGCAAGGUUAACCGAAUAGGGGAGCCGCAGGGAAACCGAGUCUUAACUGGGCGUCUUAGUUGCAGGGUAUAGACCCGAAACCCGGUGAUCUAGCCAUGGGCAGGUUGAAGGUUGGGUAACACUAACUGGAGGACCGAACCGACUAAUGUUGAAAAAUUAGCGGAUGACUUGUGGCUGGGGGUGAAAGGCCAAUCAAACCGGGAGAUAGCUGGUUCUCCCCGAAAGCU